UACGUAGGGGGCAAGCGUUGUCCGGAUUUAUUGGGCGUAAAGAGCGUGUAGGCGGUUGGUAGGUCCGCUGUGAAAACUCGAGGCUCAACCUCGAGACGCCGGUGGAACCAUCAGACUAGAGUCCGGAAGAGGAGAGUGGAAUUCCGUGGAUGUGAGCGGUGAAAUGCGCAGAGUAUCAGGAAGAACACCCGUGGCUAAGGCGGCUCUCUAGUACGGUACUGACGCUGAGACGCGAAAGCGUGGGGGAGCGAACAGG
rnacentral:rRNA from 1 species